AGGGGUUUAGGAUAAGACAAGACCAAAGGCCUUCAAAGCCUUAAGCGGGAGUGAAAAUCUCUCAACCCUUG
rnacentral:tRNA from 1 species